CUCAGACAGUCUGAUGAAGAAGAUGUGAUACAGAGAGACCUGAGGUGUGACGGAUCAUAGAGCAGUAUACCACUACAUUCUGACUGAGUGGCAGCGGUGUAUCAAUGAUGAAUCCAUUGAAGACAAAGCAGGAGUUGACAUGGUCUGGCGUAUGCUGUCUAUGAUGUGGAAAAAGAAUGGCAUGGUGUCUGGCAAGGACCUGGCCAUCCAACUGCUGCAGCAACUGCAUGGAACUAGAGCUCCAGAUAGCAGUGGUCAAGACCUUGUGGUAUUGCU